rnacentral:rRNA from 1 species
AACGAACGCUGGCGGCAUGCCUAACGCAUGCAAGUCGAACGAGACCUUCGGGUCUAGUGGCGCACGGGUGCGUAACGCGUGGGAACCUGCCCUUAGGUUCGGAAUAACUCCCCGAAAGGGGUGCUAAUACCGGAUAAUGUCUUCGGGCCAAAGAUUUAUCGCCUUUGGAUGGGCCCGCGUUGGAUUAGCUAGUUGGUAGGGUAAAAGCCUACCAAGGCGACGAUCCAUAGCUGGUCUGAGAGGAUGAUCAGCCACACUGGGACUGAGACACGGCCCAGACUCCUACGGGAGGCAGCAGUGGGGAAUAUUGGACAAUGGGCGAAAGCCUGAUCCAGCAAUGCCGCGUGAGUGAUGAAGGCCUUAGGGUUGUAAAGCUCUUUUACCCGGGAUGAUAAUGACAGUACCGGGAGAAUAAGCUCCGGCUAACUCCGUG